rnacentral:rRNA from 1 species
GCAGUCGAGCGGACAGAAGGGAGCUUGCUCCCGGAUGUUAGCGGCGGACGGGUGAGUAACACGUGGGUAACCUGCCUGUAAGACUGGGAUAACUCCGGGAAACCGGAGCUAAUACCGGAUAGUUCCUUGAACCGCAUGGUUUCAAGGAUGAAAGACGGUUUCGGCUGUCACUUACAGAUGGACCCGCGGCGCAUUAGCUAGUUGGUGAGGUAACGGCUCACCAAGGCGACGAUGCGUAGCCGACCUGAGAGGGUGAUCGGCCACACUGGGACUGAGACACGGCCCAGACUCCUACGGGAGGCAGCAGUAGGGAAUCUUCCGCAAUGGACGAAAGUCUGACGGAGCAACGCCGCGUGAGUGAUGAAGGUUUUCGGAUCGUAGAGCUCUGUUGUUAGGGAAGAACAAGUGCAAGAGUAACUGCUUGCACCUUGACGGUACCUA